rnacentral:rRNA from 1 species
CAGUAGCCACGGUAAUACGUAGGGCGCAAGCGUUGUCCGGAAUUAUUGGGCGUAAAGAGCUCGUAGGCGGUCUGUCGCGUCUGGUGUGAAAUCCCGAGGCUCAACCUCGGGCUUGCAUCGGGUACGGGCAGACUAGAGUGCGGUAGGGGAGACUGGAAUUCCUGGUGUAGCAGUGGAAUGCGCAGAUAUCAGGAGGAACACCGAUGGCGAAGGCAGGUCUCUGGGCCGCAACUGACGCUGAGGAGCGAAAGCAUGGGGAGCGAACAGGAUUAGAUACCCCGGUAGUCCCUGUCUCUUAUAC